GACGUAGGGCGCGAGCGUUGUCCGGAUUUAUUGGGCGUAAAGAGCUCGUAGGCGGCUUGUCGCGUCGUCCGUGAAAACUUGGGGCUCAACCCCAAGCUUGCGGUCGAUACGGGCAGACUUGAGUUCGGUAGGGGAGACUGGAAUUCCUGGUGUAGCGGUGAAAUGCGCAGAUAUCAGGAGGAACACCGGUGGCGAAGGCGGCAUCCUGGACCGACACUGACGCUGAGGAGCGAAAGCCAGGGGAGCAAACGGG
rnacentral:rRNA from 1 species